UACGAAGGGGGCUAGCGUUGUUCGGAAUUACUGGGCGUAAAGCGCGCGUAGGCGGAUUUGCCAGUCAGGGGUGAAAUGCCAGGGCUUAACCUUGGAACUGCCUUUGAUACUGCAAGUCUGGAGUACGGGAGAGGUGAGUGGAAUUCCGAGUGUAGAGGUGAAAUUCGUAGAUAUUCGGAGGAACACCAGAAGCGAAGGCGGCUCACUGGCCCGAUACUGACGCUGAGGCGCGAAAGCGUGGGGAGCAAACAGGG
rnacentral:rRNA from 1 species